rnacentral:rRNA from 1 species
UACAGAGGGGGCAAGCGUUGUUCGGAAUUACUGGGCGUAAAGAGCGUGUAGGCGGCCAGAUAAGUCCGCUGUGAAACAUCGAGGCUCAACUUCGAGCUGUCGGUGGAAACUGUCUGGCUAGAGUCCGGAAGAGGAGAAUGGAAUUCCUGGUGUAGCGGUGAAAUGCGCAGAUAUCAGGAAGAACACCCGUGGCUAAGGCGGCUCUCUAGUACGGUACUGACGCUGAGACGCGAAAGCGUGGGGAGCGAACAGG